AUUGAACGCUAGCGGGAUGCCUAACACAUGCAAGUCGAACGGAGUGGCGAACGGGUGAGUAAUGCAUAGGAACGUGCCCAGUAGCGGGGGAUAACUACGCGAAAGCGGAGCUAAUACCGCAUACUAUUAGAGCGGCCUAUGUCGGAUUAGCUAGUUGGUGGGGUAACGGCUCACCAAGGCGACGAUCCGUAGCUGGUCUGAGAGGACGACCAGCCACACUGGGACUGAGACACGGCCCAGACUCCUACGGGGGGCAGCAGUGGGGAAUUUUGGACAAUGGGCGAAACCCUGAUCCAGCCAUGCCGCGUGUGUGAAGAAGGCCUUCGGGUUGUAAAGCACUUUUGGUAGGAAAGCGGUACCUGCAGAAUAAGCACCGGCUAACUACGUGCCAGCAGCCGCGGUAAUUC
rnacentral:rRNA from 1 species